CACAAGGGGUGAAGCCUGCGGUUCAAUUGGAGUCAACGCCUGAAACCUUACCCGGAGAGACAGCAGAAUGAAGGUCAAGCUGAAGACUUUACCAGACAAGCUGAGAGGUGGUGCAUGGCCGUCGCCAGCUCGUGCCGUGAGAUGUCCUGUUAAGUCAGGUAACGAGCGAGAUCCCUGCCUCUAGUUGCUACCAUUACUCUCAGGAGUAGUGGGGCGAAUUAGGGGGACCGCCGCAGUUAAUGCGGAGGAAGGAAGGGGCCACGGCAGGUCAGUAUGCCCCGAAACUCUGGGGCCACACGCGGGCUGCAAUGGUAACGACAAUGAGUUCCAAAAUCGAAAGAUAGAGGUAAUCCCUAAACGUUACCACAGUUAUGAUUGAGGGCUGCAACUCGCCCUCAUGAAUAUGGAAUCCCUAGUAACCGCGUGUCAUUAUCGCGCAGUGAAUACGUCCCUGCUCCUUGCACACACCGCCCGUCGUUUCAUUGAAGUUUGCCUUUAGCGAGGUGAUGUCUAAUUGGCAUUAUCGAACUUGGGGUAAGUGACAAGGGAAAAGUCGUAACAAGGUGACCGUAGGGGAACCUGCGGUCGGAUCACCUCCUU
rnacentral:rRNA from 1 species